AAAUAUAAUAUGUUCAUAAGUUUUCAGCAAUAAGGAACACGGUUAGAGUCCGUGGCGGUCCCGCCGCUGUAAUCCAUGUUCUUUUCUUCUUUAAGAAUGAAAAGAAAACUUUUUUAAGGAAUGCCACUGUCCAGUUUAAAACUGGGUGGGAAGGUUUAAAAAAGAAGGAAAGUCAGAAGACCUGCUGAAAGAUUUGUUUUAGUU
rnacentral:ncRNA from 30 species